UCACGUCUGACGAGUCCCACAAUAGGACGAAACGGCCGUCCAGCGA
rnacentral:hammerhead_ribozyme from 1 species